UAGGGAAUCUUCCACAAUGGACGCAAGCCUGAUCGAGCAACGCCGCGUGAGUGAAGAAGGUUUUCGGAUCGUAAAGCUCUGUUGUUUGUGAAGAAGGAUAGAGGCAGUAACUGGUCUUUAUUUGACGGUAAUCAACCAGAAAGUCACGGCUAACUACGUGCCAGCAGCCGCGGUAAUACGUAGGUUGCAAGCGUUAUCCGGAUUUAUUGGGCGUAAAGCGAGCGCAGGCGGAAUGGUAAGUCUGAUGUGAAAGCCCACGGCUCAACCGGGGAACUGCAUAGGAAACUGUCAUUCUUGAGUGCAGAAGAGGGGAGUGGAAUUCCAUGUGUAGCGGUGAAAUGCGUAGAUAUAUGGAAGAACACCAGUGGCGAAGGCAGCUCUAUGGUCUGCAACUGACGCUGAGGCACGAAAGCAUGGGUAGCGAACAGG
rnacentral:rRNA from 1 species